rnacentral:rRNA from 1 species
AUUGAACGCUGGCGGCAGGCCUAACACAUGCAAGUCGAACGAGUGGCGGACGGGUGAGUAAUGUCUGGGAAACUGCCUGAUGGAGGGGGAUAACUACUGGAAACGGUAGCUAAUACUGCAUACCAUCAGAUGUGCCCAGAUGGGAUGAGCUAGUUGGUUGGGUAACGGCUCACCAAGCCGACGAUCCCUAGCUGGUCUGAGAGGAUGAACAGCCACACUGGAACGGAGACACGGUCCAGACUCCUACGGGAGGCAGCGGUGGGGAAUAUUGCACAAUGGGAGCGAGGCUAGUGCAGCCAUGCCGCGUGUAUGAAGAAGGCCUUCGGGUUGUAAAGUACUUUCAGCGGGGAGGCGUUACCCGAAGAAGAAGCACCGGCUAACUCCGUGCCAGCAGCCGCGGUAAUUC